UACGUAGGGUGCAAGCGUUGUCCGGAAUUAUUGGGCGUAAAGAGCGUGUAGGCGGCCAGGUAGGUCCGUUGUGAAAACUGGAGGCUUAACCUCCAGCUGUCGAUGGAAACCAUCUGGCUAGAGUCCGGAAGAGGAGAGUGGAAUUCCUGGUGUAGCGGUGAAAUGCGUAGAUAUCGUAAGGAAGACCAGUGGCGAAGGCGGGUCUCUGGACAGUUCCUGACGCUGAGGCACGAAGGCCAGGGGAGCAAACGGG
rnacentral:rRNA from 1 species